GUUCAGGUUCACUAUAAGCCGGAGUAAUGUCGCUAGUAUCAGGAAAAUUCAUUUCAACCGGCGGAGAUGGAGAAGUACCAGUAGGCUGAGGAGCAAUGGUCGAGGCGCCAGUGGGUUGGGGAGCAAUUGAAGCAGGUCUCUUAGGAAGAUCAGGGAUAUUGUCAUCACCUUCCAAAUCGGGGGGAUCAUGUGGAAGACGAGGGACUGAAAUGAGACUAGUCAAAUAUCGAAGAUUUGAACAAUCCGCGUAAAAUUGACGAAGCCUAUGGUGUUGUGACUUAUAUCUAUGCUUCAAAGGUUCCAAAGUCUCUGGGGCAUCAACUGUGCUAUAUAAAGCACGUAACAUACUAGUUAAAAAUCGAUAAAUACCAUAUGACUCCUGAACUAGAGGCACAAGGGCUGCAAUUCUACAUUCAUUUUUAUUUGAACGCUUGAAGUUAGAAAAAAGCUGUUUUUGAAAUUCAUCAAUAUGAUCCUGAAGAUUCAUCAUGUCGUAUACAGUUUCAUAACCUUCAUUAGGGUCAUCGACUUGCCUAAGACUAAUGUAUUCUUUAUACUCAAAAGUACCAUUAAAUUCCGGAUGUUGAGCAUGAAAAGAAAGCUUAUCAAGUAAAUAAUCCACAUAAUCACGAAUUAAAUCGCUAUAGCCCUUUGGACUACUUUCACCAUCAUACUGUCGUUCACAAGUUUUAAGCCAGCCUUUCUCACUUUGAGAAUCAACAAGUGCAGACUUAUGACCUUCUUGCAAGACACGAUGUAUGGUAAUUAACGCCUUGAAAGUUUGAACUUCGUUUGCAAGCAAUGGCUGAACUUUUAUAGCAGUCCAAAAAGGCCUGGCUGUAUGAUGAUCCCAAGUGAAAAUGAUGCAGCUACGAACGUGCUUUCGCUUUGGGGCUGUUUCAUCGAUGCUAGUAGCCUUCCGCACGCUUGUCAUCAACGAUGCGUCUGACUGCAUGUGAUCGGAUUGCAGUCGAAACGAACUCAUCGUGUACUUUUCGAUUUCUCACUUUUGGUAAUUAAAAAUUUGCCAAUUCAAAUCCUAACAAUUUCUGGUAAAAUACAAAUAUCGUAGUGCUAUGUACAAGAUUGUCUUCUGUCCGUUCUUACUAUAGAAAUUGGUUCUGUUUCAAAACUACGACAUCCGUGUCCCGUACGAAUUUUGAUAA